GUGGCGCACGGGUGCGUAACACGUAUGCAACCUACCUUAUACUGGGGGAUAGCCUUUGGAAACGGAGAUUAAUACCCCAUAGUACAUUUGAUUGGCAUCAAUUAAAUGUUAAAGAUUUAUCGGUAUAAGCUGGGCAUGCGUCCAAUUAGUUAGUUGGUGAGGUAAUGGCUCACCAAGACUUUGAUUGGUAGGGGAACUGAGAGGUUAAUCCCCCACACUGGCACUGAGAUACGGGCCAGACUCCUACGGGAGGCAGCAGUAGGGAAUAUUGGGCAAUGGAGGCAACUCUGACCCAGCCAUGCCGCGUGCAGGAAGAAGGCGUUAUGCGUUGUAAACUGCUUUUAUAUAGGAAGAAAUAGUCCUUGCGAGGAAAGUUGACGGUACUAUAUGAAUAAGCACCGGCUAACUCCGUGCCAGCAGCCGCGGUAAUACGGAGGGUGCAAGCGUUGUCCGGAUUUAUUGGGUUUAAAGGGUGCGUAGGCGGUUUAUUAAGUCAGUGGUGAAAGACGGUCGCUCAACGAUUGCAGUGCCAUUGAUACUGGUAGACUUGAGUGGGAUUGAGGUAGCUGGAAUGGAUAGUGUAGCGGUGAAAUGCAUAGAUAUUAUCCAGAACACCAAUUGCGUA
rnacentral:rRNA from 1 species